rnacentral:rRNA from 1 species
GCAUAAUCAUUUGUUCUUUAAUUGGGGACUGGAAUGAAUGGAUAUACGAAAUUAAAUCUGUCUCUUUUUUAGGAGUAUAAAUUGUAUUUUAGGUGAAGAUACCUAAAUUUUAAUGAGGGACAAAAAGACCCUAUUGAGCUUUACUAUUGUAAGAAUUUAAUGAAUAAUUUACUUUUUUACUUAAAUUUAGUUUGGUUGGGGUAACAAAGAAAUAUAUAAAUUUUUCUUGAUUAUCUAGAAUAAUAAUUCUUUUUAUAGAUCUAUUUUUAUGAUAAGGAGAAAAAGUUACCAUAGGAUAACAGGCUAAUUCUUUUGUAGAGUUCAAAUUGAUAAAAGAGUUUGGCACCUCGAUGUUGGCUUAAGAUAACCUAUAGAUGCAGCAGUUUAUAAGGGUUGGUUUGUUCAACCAUUAAAAUCUUA